UAGUGAGUUUGAUCCUGGCUCAGAACGAACGCUGGCGGCAGGCUUAACACAUGCAAGUCGAGCGGGCGCUUUCGGGCGUCAGCGGCGGACGGGUUAGUAACGCGUGGGAACGUGCCCUUUGCUCUGGAAUAGCCCUGGGAAACUGGGGGUAAUACCGGAUGUGCCCUGAGGGGGAAAGAUUUAUCGGCAAGGGAUCGGCCCGCGUCUGAUUAGGUAGUUGGUGGGGUAAUGGCCCACCAAGCCGACGAUCGGUAGCUGGUUUGAGAGGACGAUCAGCCACACUGGGGACUGAGACACGGCCCAGACUCCUACGGGAGCAG
rnacentral:rRNA from 1 species